ensembl:lncRNA
UUUAAUAAAAUAAUUACUUUACGGUUUCAAUGUAAUAUUAUUUGAUAUUUAUAACAAUAUUUAUAUAAAUAAUAUUUUUUCAUGGAAAUGUAUACUGUAUAUUAGUGUUUUAUACCACUUUUUAUACCUCUACUAAUGUUACUAUUUAUGUUGCUAGUAUGUUACUAACAUUCCAUCCAGGUGUUUUAAUGUAUGUUUUCAGUGUGCUGUGAUUUGACAUGCACAAUAUCACAUGCUUAAUGUUACAGAUAAUAUCCACAUUUCCCAUGUUAACACUGCUGUGUAAGAUUCAUGGAUAGUAUUCCUCUUUAUUUAUAAACAGACCUCCAGGUUUCAGCAGGGACAGGCCCCACACACACCCCAGAGACAGAGGCAUCGGAAAAGAGCAAAGGGUCCCGAGGGGCUGUGGACCAACACAGAGCCAGCACCAUAAUUCAAUGCGACCCACCCUAAACUACAGCUCAGGGUGUGGAGGACACCUCUCUAGCAGCAACAAUCACAGCAGCCAGUCACACAGGUUUGGGGGUCCACAUCAGCAGCAGCGUCCCACUGGGCGUCCCCCACAGACCCAGGGAGACAAAUGGACACAGUCAACUCAGUCCAGGACAUUCCAAGGGCCCUCUCUCAAACGCCCAGCUCCUCCUCACAAUAUGUCACCACCACACCGGGAUCCAUCCCCUUCACGAGAUGACUGUCCCAGCAAGAGAAGCAGGAGCAUCAGUUCACAUCAGAAUUUCCACUUGAGAGAGAAGUAUUUCAUCAACCGUCCACCUCCAUCACAUCCACCUCGGCCAUGGAGCCCAGCAUACAAAAGCUCAAUGCCCUGGAGCCUGUCUGAGAAGAGGUCCUCCCCCUCUCGAUUUCAGGAGUCCAGUCAUUCUGUCAUGAGAGAUCACAGACCAUAUUCCAUCCCAUCACCACCGAACAGUGCCCCAAGCCAGGGCCUCCAUAGCAAGAAACCCACCAAACAGGGGCAACCCAAUCAUCCGGUCCGAGAUCAUCCAGGCCCCAAUCCCCAUGGGGCCAAAGGGGGCUGGGAUUGCCCAUCACCAGCAAACCUCACCAGUGUGCCUUACAGUCAGCAGCACCAGCUCCCUCCACCACAGAGGCACACCGGCCCCUACAGCAGCCCAGACACCUCAGUACCUCAGCCCAGAUUCAACACAGCACAGCCUGGCUGGAAAACACAGAGAAAACAUGGCAGUAGUAGUGUGAGUAAAUGAAGAAAGAAUUUUCAUUUCUGGGUCAACUAUUCCUUUCAAUAUAAUGCCCAAUGUUCAAAGAACUAGUCUCAGCCUCAGACAACUCACCCACAGACUGUAUAAGUGGGCGUUCUUGACCAGAAUAAGCUCUUAGACUUAAUAUCAGUAGUCAAAAGUCUAUCAAGGCUUCUGCAAGGCUAUCAAUUAAAUAUCAAGUCCAUAUAAAUUAUCAGUGACAGCCAAACAUUACAUUUCAGAAAGGAAUUCAAAUAUAUUGAGCUGCUCUUAUGUAUUAGUAUAAACUUGUGAAAUGUUCGGCAUUUGUUUCUCUCAAGAGCUCCCUCAGCAAACUGGAGACUGAACUCUUGAAACACAUUCAAGCCAAGAGGAGGCACAAGGAGCGUUUAAGGAGGGAGAAAAAGAAAGAAGGAGAGCUGUUAGACACAAGAGAACGGAUGGAGAAAACAAUGGAGGACAAGAAAAAGAAAAAGAUGAGGGAUGGAAGAAAGGGGCAUGAUAAGAAGAACAUACACCAAAAUGGCCAACAGUUGGGACAGAUAACAAGAAGAGCAAAGGAUGAGGGGAAAAAAGGAAUGUAUGAAGACAGGAAGAGUGAGACGCCUUCGAAAUCAGCAUCUCCCAAUUUAGGAACAUUGUAUCCCAGUGAUUCUGAACCUCUCCUGGAUGACCUACUGUUUGAGCCAC